UCAAGUGACUAAGUGUAUGUGGUGGAUGCCUUGGCGAUCAUAGGCGAUGAAGGACGUGUAAGCCUGCGAAAAGCUGCGGGGAGUCGGCAAAAAGACUUUGAUCCGCAGAUGUCCGAAUGAGGAAACUCACCGGGUAACCGGUAUCACAAACUGAAUACAUAGGUUUGUGAGGCGAACGCAGUGAACUGAAACAUCUAAGUAACUGCAGGAAAAGAAAUCAACCGAGAUUGCGGCAGUAGCGGCGAGCGAAACCGCAGCAGCCUAGUCUUUGAUAAUGCAUGGUGACAGCAGAACGGUCUGGAAAGGCCGGCCACAGUGGGUGACAGCCCCGUAUGCGAAGUCCGGUGCAUGGUACUAAAAAGACGAUAAGUAGGGCGGGACACGUGACAUCCUGUCCGAAGACGGGGGGACCAUCCUCCAAGGCUAAAUACUCAUGAUCGACCGAUAGCGAACCAGUACUGUGAAGGAAAGGCGAAAAGAACCCCGGGAGGGGAGUGAAAGAGAACCUGAAACCGCAUACAUACAAACAGUAGGAGCCCUACGGGGUGACUGCGUACCUUUUGCAUAAUGGGUCAGCGACUUACGUUUUGCGGCAAGCUUAACCGAGUAGGGGAGGCGCAGCGAAAGCGAGUUCGAACAGAGCGAUAGAGUCGUAAGGCGUAGACCCGAAACCAGAUGAGCUAACCAUGGCCAGGUUGAAGGUGUGGUAACACACACUGGAGGACCGAACCGACCGGUGUUGCAAAACCGGCGGAUGAGCUGUGGUUAGGGGUGAAAGGCUUAACAAAUCUGGAGAUAGCUGGUUCUCCCCGAAAACUAUUGAGGUAGUGCCUCGUGACUGACUCCGGGGGGUAGAGCACUGUUAUGGCUAGGGGGACAUGGCGUCUUACCAAACCAUGGCAAACUCCGAAUACCCGGAAGUUGAAUCACGGGAGACAGAGCACCGGGUGCUAACGUCCGGACUCAAAAGGGAAACAACCCAGACCGCCGUUUAAGGUCCCAAAUACAGGCUAAGUGGAAAACGAAGUGUGAAGGCUAAGACAGUCAGGAAGUUGGCUUAGAAGCAGCCAUCCUUCAAAGAAAGCGUAAUAGCUCACUGAUCGAGUCCUCAUGCGCGGAAGAUGUAACGGGGCUAAGUCUGUAACCGAAAGCGCGGAUUUGUACGCAAGUACAAGUGGUAGGGGAGCGUUCUGUAAGCCUGCGAAGGUGUGUGGUAACGCAUGCCGGAGGUAUCAGAAGUGCGAAUGCUGACAUGAGUAACGAUAAAGCGGGUGAAAAGCCCGCUCGCCGUAAGCCCAAGGUUUCCUGCUCUACGUUCAUCGGAGCAGGGUGAGUCGGCCCCUAAGGCCAGGCUGAGAAGCGUAGCUGAUGGGAAGCAGAUUAAGAUUUCUGCACCGACGUUAAGUGCGAAGGGGGGACGGAGUUUUGAGCAUCAUCCGGGUGUUGGAUGUCCCGGUUUGUGCGUGUAGGAGGCCGGCAGGCAAAUCCGCCGGCAUAUCUCCGAGACAAAGCAUCGAGCUGCAUUUUGCAGUGAAGUGAUGGGAUGAACUUCCAGGAAAAGCCUCUAAGCAAUAGCUUAAUGUCGACCGUACCGUAAACCGACACAGGUGGGCGAGUUGAAUAUACUCAGGCGCUUGAGAGAACUCGGGAGAAGGAACUCGGCAAAUUGACACCGUAACUUCGGGAUAAGGUGUGCCUUUGUAGUGUGAAGAGUGAAACACUCCGAGCAUGAAGAGGUCACAGAGAAUAGGUGGCUGCAACUGUUUACUAAAAACACAGCACUCUGCAAAGACGAAAGUCGACGUAUAGGGUGUGAUGCCUGCCCGGUGCCGGAAGAUUAAGUGAUGGGGUGAGAGCUCCUGAUCGAAGUCCCGGUAAACGGCGGCCGUAACUAUAACGGUCCUAAGGUAGCGAAAUUCCUUGUC
rnacentral:rRNA from 1 species